rfam:Yersinia ruckeri strain 37551 YRO1b0000007, whole genome shotgun sequence.
GGGGUUAAUGACAAAGUGCUCGCUGCGGUGAAAACCGGCAGAUCGUCAAGACGCCGUGAAUAUGUCCUUGUCGGCUCGUUCCGCGCCAUCCCUGGCGCGGACGCUUG